ACCUUGCUAGCUCAAUCGGUAGAGCAUGUGACUCUUGAUCUCAGAGUCAUGAAUUCAAGCCCCAUGUUGGAUG
rnacentral:tRNA from 1 species